AGACGGUAGGGUAUUGGCCUACCGUGGCUAUGACGGGUAACGGGGAAUUAGGGUUCGAUUCCGGAGAGGGAGCCUGAGAAACGGCUACCACAUCUAAGGAAGGCAGCAGGCGCGCAAAUUACCCAAUCCUAAUACAGGGAGGUAGUGACAAGAAAUAACAAUACAGGACCUUACGGUUUUGUAAUUGGAAUGAGUUAAGUAUAAACCCCUUAACAAGUAUCAAUUGGAGGGCAAGUCUGGUGCCAGCAGCCGCGGUAAUUCCAGCUCCAAUAGCGUAUAUUAAAGUUGUUGCAGUUAAAAAGCUCGUAGUUAAUUUUCUGUUAAUUUUUAUAUACAAUACUACGGUAUUUAUAUAAUAUUAACAUAAUUCAUAUUACUUUUUAGUAUAUGAAACUUUACUUUGAGAAAAUUAGAGUGCUUAAAGCAGGCUAUUGCCUUGAAUACUCCAGCAUGGAAUAAUAUUAAGGAUUUUUAUUCUUCUUAUUGGUUCUAGAAUAAAAAUAAUGAUUAAUAGGGACAGUUGGGGGCAUU
rnacentral:rRNA from 1 species